rnacentral:lncRNA from 1 species
CUUUGACAUUGCACUGGGAUUGGCAUGCCCUCCUCUUCCUGCCUUCCCAGUUAUGGAAGGCCCAUGCACUCUGCAGGCCUUGUUGCCAUUGCACGCAGGUGGGCUUCCAUGCUGGUGCUGCACUUUAUGCUUUGGACCCUUCGUUUUCUCAGGGGCUGAGAGAUAGUGUUGCCACUUCCAACCUCAUAGUCACUGACCGGCUACUUGUAAAAUCCCCUUCCUUUUUGCUGUCAUCACGAUGCAGGAUGCGAGGCAAGGCACUGCACUUGAGUGAUCCGGUCUCCGGACCUCAAGGGAAGCAUGUCCUAUUGCAUACGGGUUUGGCGUCCACGCCCCGUCCCACGAAAAAAGGCGUCAGCUGAUAUGGUGUCAGAUCUAAGGAAGGCGCCUCCUUGGGACUGAGCCAUACAUUGCAGCCAUGUUUGCACAGUGGGAUAGGACCUCUACUUUUGCCUGCAUCGUUUUUUAAGAAAUAAGGGGGAACUGUGGUGAGCCGUGUCUGUAGACCGUUGCCGCCAUUAGAAGAUGGCGCCGGUCUCCGUUGUGGAUCUUGGUAAACAACUCCUUAUUAGGGAGAAUUGGCGCGCUAUCCCUCAAUACCCUAUGAGAAAACCCCGCGUGGCAGCUUUGGAUUGGACUUGAGUAAGCUUUAUUAGGCUGUGUGUGGGUGCGCGGGAGAGAGCGCGCUUGAGAGAAGACUAAGAAUUAAGGCCUGAAUAAACCGCUGAAAGAAGAAUCCUGUGU